CUCCCAUCCAAGUACUAACCAGGUCUGACCCUGCUUAGCUUUUGAGAUCAGAUGAGAUCGGGCAUGUUCAGGGUGGUAUGGCUGUAGAC
rnacentral:sRNA from 1 species